rnacentral:rRNA from 1 species
AGUGAACGCUGGCGGUAGGCCUAACACAUGCAAGUCGAACGGCAGCACAGUAAGAGCUUGCUCUUACGGGUGGCGAGUGGCGGACGGGUGAGGAAUACAUCGGAAUCUACUUUUUCGUGGGGGAUAACGUAGGGAAACUUACGCUAAUACCGCAUACGACCUACGGGUGAAAGCAGGGGAUCUUCGGACCUUGCGCGAUUGAAUGAGCCGAUGUCGGAUUAGCUAGUUGGCGGGGUAAAGGCCCACCAAGGCGACGAUCCGUAGCUGGUCUGAGAGGAUGAUCCGCCACACUGGAACUGAGACACGGUCCAGACUCCUACGGGAGGCAGCAGUGGGGAAUAUUGCGCAAUGGGCGAGAGCCUGAUCCAGCCCUACCGCGUGGGUGAUGAAGGACUUCGGGUUGUAAAGCCCUUUUGUUGGGAAAGAAAAGCAGCAGGUUAAUACCCCGCUGUUCUGACGGUACCCAAAGAAUAAGCACCGGCUAACUUCGUG